UACGUAGGGUGCGAGCGUUGUCCGGAAUUAUUGGGCGUAAAGAGCUCGUAGGCGGUCUGUCGCGUCGGUCGUGAAAACUUGGGGCUUAACCCUGAGCUUGCGGUCGAUACGGGCAUGACUGGAGUUCGGCAGGGGAGACUGGAAUUCCUGGUGUAGCGGUGAAAUGCGCAGAUAUCAGGAGGAACACCGGUGGCGAAGGCGGGUCUCUGGGCCGAUACUGACGCUCAUGCACGAAAGCGUGGGGAGCAAACAGG
rnacentral:rRNA from 1 species